CAGCCGCCGCGGGAAAACCAGCACCUCGAGUGGUCAGGAGGUUUAUUGGGCCUAAAGCAUCCGUAGCCGGUUGCAUAAGUUUUCGGUUAAAUCUAUGCGCUUAACGUAUAGGCCGCCGAAAAUACUGUGCAGCUAGGGAGUGGGAGAGGUACACGGUACUCGAUAGGAAGGGGUAAAAUCCUUUGAUCUAUUGAUGACCACCUGUGGCGAAGGCGGUGUACCAGAACACGUUCGACGGUGAGGGAUGAAAGCUGGGGGAGCAAACCGGAUUAGAUACCCGUGUAGUCCCUGUCUCUUAUAC
rnacentral:rRNA from 1 species